rnacentral:lncRNA from 1 species
AUUAGAUUUUUAUUCUUUUAUUUUCACUUAGAAGCUUUCAGCUCCUUUCACGUUUCUCUUCUCUGUGCAAACCCCUCCCAAGUUCUUUUUCCUUUCAUUGCAAUCUUCCCCUAAUUCUACAAAAAUUGAACAAUAAAAUCUUCCUCCUGUAGAUACCUAGAACAUCUUGGCAACCAAAAGCUUUCAUCUCCACCAAUUUC